GCUGAAUGGAAUGGCUGCAUGAUCAAGUUGUGGAAAAGUUUACUUGCAUACCAUCUCCAAGGAUCUGGCACAUCUAAUAGUUUCACUUUGGUUCUUCAGCAGUUUCUUUAGAAA